CCACACUACAGUCCACAUGGAAGACACCAGCAUUAGUGGGGUGACAGACAUCACUGUGACAAAUGCCAGCCACCGAUGCACUCUGAACACCCGUCCCCAGAGAGAGCCAGCAGCGUGGCCAGGGUCUUCACCA